UAGGCUGGGUGUGUAAGCGCAGCGAUGCGUUGAGCUGACCAGUACUAAUGAACCGGGAGGCUUAACCUGACAACACCGAAGGUGUUU
rnacentral:rRNA from 1 species